UACCAGCACCCCGAGUGGUCGGGACGUUUAUUGGGCCUAAAGCAUCCGUAGCCGGUUCUACAAGUCUUCCGUUAAAUCCACCUGCUUAACAGAUGGGCUGCGGAGGAUACUACAAGGCUAGGAGGCGGAAGAGGCAAGCGGUACUCAGUGGGUAGGGGUAAAAUCCUCUGAUCCAUUGAAGACCACCAGUGGCGAAGGCGGCUUGCCAAUACGCGCUCGACGGUGAGGGAUGAAAGCUGGGGGAGCAAACCGG
rnacentral:rRNA from 1 species